rnacentral:rRNA from 1 species
AGAGUUUGAUCAUGGCUCAGGAUGAACGCUGGCGAGAUGCUUUACACAUGCAAGUCGUACGAAAGUUUUUAACUUAAGUGGCGGACGGGUGAGUAACACGUAAGAAUUUACCUUUAGGAGGGGGAUAACAACUGGAAACGGUUGCUAAUACCCCAUAUGCUUUCGAGUGAAAUGGAUUUUUCCGCCUAGAGAGAAGCUUGCGGCUGAUUAGCUUGUUGGUGAGGUAAUGGCUCACCAAGGCGACGAUCAGUAUCUGGUUUGAGAGGACGAUCAGACACACUGGAACUGAGACACGGUCCAGACUCCUACGGGAGGCAGCAGUGGGGAAUUUUCCGCAAUGGGCGAAAGCCUGACGGAGCAAUCUCGCGUGAGGGAUGACGGCCUAUGGGUUGUAAACCUCUUUUUUCAGGGAGGAAUAAAAUGACGUGUACCUGAAGAAUAAGCAUCGGCUAACUCCGUGCCAGCAGCCGCGGUAAGACGGAGGAUGCAAGUGUUAUCCGGAAUCACUGGGCGUAAAGCGUCUGUAGGUGGUUUAGUAAGUCAACUGUUAAAUCUUGAAGCUCAACUUCAAAACCGCAGUCGAAACUACUAGACUAGAGUAUAGUAGAGGUAAAGGGAAUUUCCAGUGGAGCGGUGAAAUGCGUAGAGAUUGGAAAGA